rnacentral:rRNA from 1 species
UACGUAGGUGGCAAGCGUUGUCCGGAUUUACUGGGCGUAAAGAGCGCGCAGGCGGUCGUUCAAGUCGCGUGUGAAAGCCCCCGGCUCAACUGGGGAGGGUCACGCGAUACUGAUCGACUCGAAGGCAGGAGAGGGUAGUGGAAUUCCCGGUGUAGCGGUGAAAUGCGUAGAGAUGGGGGAGAACACUCGUGGCGAAGGCGGCCAGCUAGACCAGUUCUGACACUGAGGCGCGAAAGCGUGGGGAGCAAACAGG